rnacentral:rRNA from 1 species
UACGUAGGGUGCGAGCGUUAAUCGGAAUUACUGGGCGUAAAGCGCGCGCAGGCGGUUAUGUAAGACAGAUGUGAAAUCCCCGGGCUCAACCUGGGAACUGCAUUUGUGACUGCAUGGCUGGAGUACGGCGGAGGGGGAUGGAAUUCCGCGUGUAGCAGUGAAAUGCGUAGAUAUGCGGAGGAACACCGAUGGCGAAGGCAAUCCCCUGGGCCUGUCCUGACGCUCAUGCACGAAAGCGUGGGGAGCAAACAGG